CCCUAACACAAUAGCUCUAUCCCCUUCGUCAUUCAAGAGCCUAUGAAAGUACGACUGCCAUCUAUUCUUAAUGUGGCCGUCCUCCACCAACACUCUACCGUCCUCCCCCUUAAUGCACCUCACCUGAUCGAGGUCACGACCCUUCCUCUCCCUAGCCUUAGCGAGUCUAAACAACUUUUUCUCCCCUCCCUUCCCUUGUAACCCUGCAUACAAGCUCUCAAAGGCGGCCGUCUUAGCUGCCGUAACUGCUGACUUAGCCUCCUUCCUUGCUAGCUUGUACUCUUUCCUGUUUACCCGCUUCUCCUCUUCGUCCUUACUCUCCACCAACUUGGCAUACGCCCCUUUCUUGGUCCCUACUUUCUUCUCCACCUCUUCAUUCCACCACCAAUCCCCCUGAUGGUGCCCGGCCCGACCCCUAGAAACCCCCAACACCUCACUUGCAUUCC
rnacentral:lncRNA from 1 species